rnacentral:scRNA from 1 species
GUCGACUUCACAGAGCAACGAAUAGCUUCCGUUUUGUGUAGUGGAAGGGAUACCGAGCCAGUGUCAUACACGUCCAACGAAUGUCUAAUGGGCUGCUCUAAUUAAACCACCACAUUU